rnacentral:rRNA from 1 species
CCUACGGGAGGCUGCAGUGGGGAAUAUUGCACAAUGGGGGAAACCCUGAUGCAGCGAAGCCGCGUGAAUGAAGAAGUCAUUAGUUAUUUAAAGCUCUUUUAGUAGGGAAGUAAAUGACGGUACCUGAGUAAGAAGCUACGGAUAACUACGUGACAGAAGCCGCGGUAAUACGCAGGGGGCAAGCGUAAUCCGGAGUUACUGGGUGUAAAGGGAGCGUAGACGGUAGUGAAAGUAUGGAGUGAAAGGCUGGGGCUCAACCGUAGGAUUGCUAUGGAAACUGUAAGUCUGGAGUACAGGAGAGGUAAGUGGAAUUCGUGGUGUAGCGGUGAAAUGCGUAGAUAUUAGGAAGAACACCAGUUGCGAAGGCAGCUUACUGGACUGUAACUGACGUUGAGGCUCGAAAGUGUGGGUAGCAAACAGGAUUAGAUACCCUUGUAGUC